rnacentral:misc_RNA from 1 species
UUUCCGUAGGUGAACCUGCGGGAGGAUCAUUAAGAGUAUAAGAGUGGGGAACGGGGGGUGUGGUUCUUUGAGCCCGCUUCUGUUUUUACUGUUGCCUGUGCAAGCAUCUGGAUUUUUACGAUUUAAUUUGCAUUUGUAUUGUUGGAGAAUUGGUAGUUUGUCAUGAGAAAUAUUUUAAAAAGUGAAAACUUUCAACAAUGGAUCUCUUGGCUCUC